AGUGGAUGGUUUUAUCCUGGUUUUUCUUGCCCAUUAUCUCCACAACUCUCCACGACUAAGCUCCUACCAACUUGGAUAGUGGUGUCAAUUCAGUUGAUGGGUAUUCUACUGUUCUUAUAUAAUCUUUGAAAAAAAAAAAGAAUUGAAGAACCAUUUCAAGCAGUGAACAGAUUCUCCAUCAAGAGUCAUCCCAUGGUUGUUCAAUCCCCAAUUUGCAAAUACAAGCAUCCACAUCAAAACAUUCAUCUUUUUAAUUACCCUUCGUAAACUCUUCACCUCCUUAAUCGUUCAUUCUUCCAAUUGUGAAAGCAUAGAAUCAUCCAUUUCCAAAUUGGAAAAACUAGGGUUCAUGCGUAAUUCUACAACGAUCACUAUUUCUUUUCAUCUGUGUGAUUCUUAACGUUUGUAAAUGAGAUAACCAGAUGAUCAAUGGCCAAUUCCUUUUAAGUUAUCAUAGCCCCAAAUCUUGCUUCUGUUGCAAUUGAGUUUUAUACCAUAUGGAUUGAAUUGUUGAUUGAUGAUCUAAUAACUGUAAAUGAAAUUAGUGAUUUUUAGUUUCGUUGGGGUUGUUUUUGUGGCAUGUGCAGGUUUGACCAGAGAAAUUUGAAACCGUCUGGAGCAGAAGAAACCAAAAUGGCUCUUUCCAAAGCCAAGGCAAGGCAUGGAAAUCGUUUCCUCAAACCCCCUUGUCCUCUUUAGGGUAAGUACAGAACAAGAUGAGGUAGAGAUCGAGGAGCAAGGACUUUGAUGUUGUAGUUGAUGACCCAAUCCAGAUGAAGGCCUUCACACAACGUGCAAAUGAAAAGUUUCCGCAUCUGCAAAAGGUUACUUCAAUACCCUGUUUCGAUUUUAAUGUCGUUGACCCAUUCGAAGAAAUGCCGCAAACAGAUUGUUGAUUCGGGUGGUUUGGUGUAUUUGCAAAAGCUUGUGGAAAUGGAGAUUAAUGGUGCGAAGAAGUUGCAGGAGACCAUUAGUCAUGGGAAGCUAUGGGGUGUUUUCGCAAGGCGGUAACGAUUAUUGAUUAAUAAUCCUUUUCAAAAUGUGUAUUUAAUUGUGGUUUGUUUGUUCAUAAUUAAUUUGUUGCUGGUAAUCUUUAGUUAAGAAGUCAAUUCAUUCUUAUUAGUUUAGAGUCUACUAAGAUAUCAAUGUCUUUAGAAAAUUCUAAAAAUUUCUAAACCUGUGUUUGGUGACCUACCUUGGAUUAAAGUUGUAAUAUUUUCAACCAAAACUUCAAUAAUCUAAUAAAUAUAGUAAUGAAAUUGACUUUCUUUUUAUUCCUUUAUCUUCUUUACUUACUAACUAAACUUCUAUUCUUUUAUACUAUAAUAAUAGAUUUUUUUUUACUAAAAGCUAUUUAGGAGGUAUUAUGCAUUUAAAUACCCUUUGGGGGAGUUUUGACCCGUUUUAUCCAUUUGAGAUGUUUCCUUCAAAGCUACUACUUUAUUUUUAUUUGGAUAUGGUAACUGACGACAUUCUUUGUAAAGGGACUGUGAGAUUUAAUCUUGAUCCUUUCAACGAGCAUAAUGAUCCUGAUCUUUGGAGAGGGCACAUCUAAAGGAUGUCAUCAGGAGGAACCCUUUGGGUUUAGAUGCCGAGAAAUUACCGUUGAUCAUAAAUCAGUAACUUGCUGAUUUUUCUAUGGAAAGAGAAGAAUCAUUAACGGAGAUGAUGUCUGCAGAAACUGGGACCUAUCGCUGGAUGGCUCCUAAGCUUUACCCAGGCAGGCAUGGGGAAAAAAACAUUAUCACAAAGUAGUUGCCUACAGUAUUGUAAUUAUAUUGUGGGAGCUCAUACACAAGUUACCAUUUCAAGGCAUGUCAAAUCUACAGGCUGCCAAUGCAAGUGCUUCUAAGAUAUUUAUCCUCUCGCAAAAUGGGUGGGCUGGAUAUGUUUGCUAAUGGGUCAAAACAGCUCGGUUUAGAUUUUCUCGACUCAACACUUGAGUUGAGUAUACUUGAAGCGACUUUUAAUCAUUUUGACAUGUUUCUUAUUUAGUUAUUUUUUUUUAUUUUACUGCUUGACCCGUUUGGCAUAUAAUAUAGUCCAUGUAACUGAUUUUAACGUAACUUGACUAAAAGUGCCCUCUCUAUCUUUAAUUUAGUCCUGUCCACGUAACUGUCAACCGGGUUGUUAAACUACCAAAAUGGAAUAGUGAACCAAACCUAUCGACUCACUUUCGUUGGGUGGUUCACUUAGUUUUGGAGGUUUUAUAGUAAAAAAAUACCCUUUGGGCUACUUCUUUACAUUUGACUCUUAGAAGCUAUUUGACCCAAUAAAGGUUAGACAUAACCAAAUCAUGCAUAUAAUGUAGAGGUGGAAAAUGGCUGGGUCAAGGGUAAUGGGUCAAAUGGAUUAGUGUUAAACCGGUAUUUUGUCUAAAAGUUUUAAAUACUGUUAAAACAGCUUAAAUUUUGUUACAGAUAACUAGUAUGUCCAAUAUGAUUUGAAAAUUAUAUUAUGUAGUAAUAAUUGUAAUAGUUUAUUAAAAUAGUAGAGGCUUUAUACCUGUUUAACCCUUUCAACUUAUUUGACCCGUUUGACCUUUAGUACUAUGUUAUAUCAAAUUAUAGCAGUUUCUCGACUAAUUACAGAUCAUGUUGGUAUCACAAUGGCAGAUCUUGGUCAACUCUGCCAUGGCAGCCUGCAUCAAGAUGGGAAGAAUAGAACUAGCAAGAUCUUUUGCUGAAAAUAGACUGUAUGCCGAUCACUGGCUUGAAUAUUACGCCACCAGAAGCUGUAAACUUAUAGGGAAGCAAUCGAGACUGUACCGAACUUGAAAAAUUGUUGGAUAUUUGACAUCUAAGAUGCUUCUAGAUAACCCUGAAAAAGCUUCUCUUUUGUAUUGGGAAGAAGACUAUGAUCUUCUUUUGAAAUAUGUGUUUGUGCUAAUAGCAAAACUGGGACGAAGUUGUGUUCUCGUGGGUCUGGUAAAUCACAUAUUCUUUUGUGACAUAGUUUGUAGAUAGAAGAACCUCUUGUGUAUAAGUAAUUCCAUCAAAAUAUGGAGGAAGUUAUCUAUAUACCAGUAUUAGAAAAAAAACAUUUUUUUGUUCUUUGUGGGAGGGGGUAUAUGAGAUCUUUUAUACUAUGUUUGAUUCAUUAUUUUUA